GGUCUGGUAGCAUAGUGGUUAAUGCAUCAGAGUUGAGUAAGUAUUCCUCGAAGUAGAGCUACUCUGAGUACUCUUGUUCAAUUCAAGGCUGGACCA